UACGUAGGGUGCGAGCGUUAAUCGGAAUUACUGGGCGUAAAGCGUGCGCAGGCGGUUAUGCAAGACAGAUGUGAAAUCCCCGGACUUAACCUGGGAACUGCAUUUGUGACUGCAUAGCUGGAGUACGGCAGAGGGGGAUGGAAUUCCGCGUGUAGCAGUGAAAUGCGUAGAUAUGCGGAGGAACACCGAUGGCGAAGGCAGUCCCCUGGGCCUGUACUGACGCUCAUGCACGAAAGCGUGGGGAGCAAACAGG
rnacentral:rRNA from 1 species